rnacentral:rRNA from 1 species
AUUGAACGCUGGCGGCAGGCCUAACACAUGCAAGUCGAGCGGAGCGGCGGACGGGUGAGUAAUGCCUGGGAAUCUACCUGGUAGUGAGGGAUCACGUCCGGAAACGGGCGCUAAUACCGCAUACUAUCAGAUGAGCCUAGGUCGGAGUAGCUAGUUGGUGGGGUAAAGGCCUACCAAGGUGACGAUCCGGAACCGGUCUGAGCGGAUGAUCAGUCACCCUGGAACUGAGACACGGCCCAGACUCCUACGGGAGGCAGCAGUGGGGAAUAUUGGACAAUGGGCGAAAGCCUGAUCCAGCCAUGUCGCGUGUGUGAAGAAGGUGUUCGGAUGGUAAAGCACUUUAAGUUGGGAGGCGUUACCAACAGAAUAAGCACCGGCUAACUUCGUGCCAGCCGCCGCGGUAAUUC